AGAGAGAGAGAGAGAGAGAGAGAGAAUUAGACAAGUCAGGCCAGGAUAAUGUUUUUCCAUAAAAAGAAAACAACAUUAUCAAAUACUGACAUCCCAUUAGUAGAUGUAUGAGGGAAAAAAUGGAAAUGAGCUGAUUCCUCAAUCCUCACAGAAAAGGGAACAGGUAGAUUCUAACAACCAUAUCAACCAAUGCUAAAACCAUUGUCAGGCACAUGUGAUGCACAUGCAUGGAAGUAUGUAUGGUUGUGAUUCCUUAAAAAAACAUUUUAAAUUAUUUUCGUAGCUUGGUAAAAACACUAACUGUUAGGAGGUGCACUUUUCCUGUUUCUAUCCUUUAAAAUAUAAAUUGUAUUGUGUGUAAUUAUUUAAGAUGGAAUUAGCUUUAGUCAUCAAAGGGUGCUCGAUAUGUGAUGAAGGACGCAAGGUCUUGUAUUUAUAUUAGCAAAAAGUACAAGAACAUUGCAUGACUUUGAGAAGCCAGACUCGAAGGAUUUACAUAUGAAGUGCCAAAUACUUGCAACUUCUUCCUCAACAAAGAUAAGAAAUAAAUGGCUUAAUCAAAUUGACAAAUGAAGAGUAGGACUCUUGUCCCAUCUAAGUUGCCUAUCAUGAUAAAAAACAUUUUACAACUAUAAAGACAGCUUUAGUGAAAUUUGACACCAAAAAACUUAAGAUUAUUUACCAUGUAAAACUAUUUGACAUUAAAAUACAGCAUACCAGUGAAUCAUCAUCCAAGUUUACGUCUGCAGGUAAUAUUAUGGUCUAAUAAAGCCAACACAAGCAUGGAAUCUGUAAACUAAGGGCCUAUUUGCUGUUGCUUUUCUUUUCCUAUUUUGUUUUCAAAAACCCAAGAAUAAAAAGGAACUAGACUGAACAAAAUGUAUAACAAAAACUUACUGUUUUUUUUAAAAAAAUGUUCGUAAAAUCUUUGGAGUUGUUGGAAGCAAAGAUUUACUGCUAAAGAGUGAGAAGAAAAUCAACGAAUAGCAUUAGGUUUGUUCAAAAACUAUUUUCAACAUCAAUCUCCAUUGGUAUCUCACUAUUUUUAGGGGAAACAAGAACACAAAAGCAAUCACAAUACGAAACAGGCCCUAGCUUAUUCAGAGUAGAAACAGUUUAGUCCAAUAUAUGCUGAACACAGAAGUAUGAAAGCUCAGCAGUCAAAAACCUGAUGAUAAGUUUGCAUACACAACUUUUAUCUCAAAAUACCACAUACCAACAUGUCCCAGAUCUAGAUCAAUCUAUCCAUUAAUAUAUUUAGGUCAAAAUAUUUCCAAUUUUCCAGUUUCACUGAAUGCCAGCAAAAGGAGAUUUUUGGAACAUUUAAAAUGUCAAAGGAAAAACUACAAGAAGAAGAAAAUUUGGGCAUAUGAAGAUAAGAUUGACAUGAACCAACCAAUUAUAGAAAUGAAAAUAAGGUUUUCGUAUGACCAUUAGUUUCAAGCAAUUUUUAGAUAUAAAAAGUACUAAAACAUAUGAACUUACUCAGCAAAUCUAUUUCAGUAGCUUAUAAACUUUUCAAACUACUUUUACCCCUACUAUCACUCCAGCUUCAUCAUUUCUUAACCUCACCUCCAAUUUACUUUCAACCAUGUGUCUUAACUUGAUAUCCUUUACUUAAUCAAAUCAAGGAUGUGUGCUUCACCCUCUUGACAGCCUUUUAAUUUUGUUGAUUAACCAAAGCAUCAAUAGUCAGUAACGAUGUUAGUAGCUCUCUUUCUUAAUCUUGCUUACCCAUACUAUUCAAAGAAAGCACAACAAGCAUGCAUUGAAAGUACCCAGCGAUGGUGGCAACAAUGAAAUAUUACUUUUAGUUGAUCAGUUCUUGCUGUCAAAUGGGGAGAUCAGUUUAGUUAGUGGUCGUGCGAAGGAUGUCAAUCCAGCAGUCUGCCAAACUAACAAAAAAGCUGAACAGCUUAGGCAAGCUAAAAUAGAAGUCCGAAUGCAGAAAUAUGUUUUAGACUAUCUUCAAAAUAGAUAAUUCAAAAAGAUAAUGAAAAAUAUAGAAAAAGAUUUUCAGAAACUUAUAUGACUCUGAAGUGAUGUUCAAAGAUGGGACACAAAGAUCUCCAUAAAAUGAUAUUUGAUGUCAAGGGAAAAAAAAAACCAUCUACCUACUAGUACAGAGGUUGUGUACUCAGAUGAGAAUUGCAGUGUAGCAAUUUGUUCGAGACCAUCUUCAAACAGAAACAAAUUGAGAGGGACGGAAAAUUGCACAGCUAUUAUUGCCAACCUUUAUCCAAAGUAUUCGUCAUUUCAAUUUGACGACUUUGCUGUGAAAUUGGCUUAUGAAUUUCCUAAAAUAAUAACAAAAUAUGAUAACAAAAUGAGGGGACCAGAAUGUAGCAUCUUGUUCGAGGCCAUCUUCAUAAACAUAGAAAUUGAGAGGCACGGAGAAUUGCAAAUUAUUAUUGCCAACCUUCAUCCAAAGUGUACACCACUUCAGUCGGGUGACUUUGUUCUGCGAAUUGGCUUAUUAAUAUUCUACAAUUACAAAACAAUUAUAGAAAUGGAAAUGAGGUUUUUGCAUAACCAUUAAUUUCAAGCAAUUUUUAGAUAUAAAAAGUACUAAAACAUAUGAACUUGCCCAGUAAAUCUAUUUUGUAUCAUUUACUUAAUCAAAUCACGGAUGCAUGCUUCACCCUCUUGACAGCCUUCUAAUUUAGUAAAUUAACCAAAGCCUCAAUAGUCGGUAAUGAUGUUAGCUCUCAUUCUUAUUCUCGCUUACCCACACUAUUCAAAGAAAGAACAACAAGCAUGCAUUGAAAGUACCCAGCAAUGGUGCGACACUGAAACAUUACUUUUAGUUCCUCAGUUCUUGCUGUCAAGUGUGGAGAUCAGUUUAGUUAGUGGUCGUGUGAAGGAUGUCAAUCCAGCAGUCUGCCAAACUAACAAAAAAGCUGAACAGCUUAGGCAAGCUAAAAUAGAAGUCCGAAUGCAGAAAUAUAUUUUAGACUAUCUUCAAAAUAGAUAAUUCAAAAAGAAUGAAAAAUUUAGGAAAAGAUUUUCAGAAACAUAUAUGAACCUGAAAUGACGUUCAAAGAUGGGACACACAGAUCUCCAUAAAAUGAUCUUUGAUGUCAAGGAAAAAACAUCAUCUACCUACUAGUGCAGAGGUUGUGUACUCAGAUGAGAAUUGCAAUGUAGCAAUUUGUUCGAGGCCAUCUUCAAACAGAAAAAAAUUGAGAGGGACGGAAAAUUGCAGAACUAUUAUUGCCAACCUUUAUCCAAAGUGUUCGCCAUUUCAAUUUGACGACUUUGCUGUGAAAUUGGCUAAUGAAUUUCCUAAAAUAAUAACAAAAUAUAAAAACAAAAUGAGGAGAACCAGAAUGUAGCAACUUGUUCGAGGCCAUCUUCAAACAAAGAAAUUGAGAGGCACGGAGAAUUUGCAAACUAUUAUUGCCAACCUUCAUCCAAAGUGUACACCACUUCAGUCAGGUGACUUUGUUCUGCGAAUUGGCUUACUAAUAUUCUACAAUUACAAAACAAUUAUAGAAAUGGAAAUAAGGUUUUCGUAUAACCAUUAGUUUCAAGCAAUUUUUAGAUAUAAAAAGUACUAAAACAUAUGAACUUACUCAGUAAAUCUAUUUCAGAAGCUUAUAAACUUUUCAAACUACUUUUACCCCUACUAUCACUCCAGCUGCAUCAUUCUUAACCUCACCUCCAUUUUAUUUUCAACCAUAUAUCUUAUCUUGAUAUCAUUAACUUAAUCAAAUCAGGGACGUGUGCUUCACCCUCCCCUUUCUCCCCCACGCCAAAAAAAAGGUUAUCCAGCAAGAAGGCCAUCUAUUGUAGACCAAAUACAAAGAGAACAUUUUCUCAUUUCUUCAUCAGUGGAUUUUACUUAGCGCAAACCAUGAAAAAUACAUGGCUGGAGAGUACGAAAAUCCUAGCCGAUAUCUAAUUGUUCCACUCAGAAAUAAAUCAUGUAAAGAUGUAUCAGCAGAUAGCCCCUUAAGCACUAAAAACGUGAGUUCAUAAAUCGAAAAGGAAGGAAAGAAAGAAAGAAAG